ensembl:lncRNA
CCUCUCUCUGUGUCUCUCUCUGUCUCUCUCUCUUUCUGUCACUUGGUCUCUCUUAGUCUCCUCUCUCACACACACACACACACACACACUUCUUCUAAUAAGCCUACUUCCGUUCAGAUUUCAGUGUUUAGUCCAGACCUCCGGAGCCGUGACUUGACGAGUUCCAGGUCAGUGUCUACGGCGGUUAACGUGAUGAUGUGGUUUGUUACACUACGACUUCUCUGAUUAGCGAUGAGGUCGUUUCGGCUAACGGUGUUUUUUUUUUCUCUCUCUCACACAAAUACCCAUAAAUUUAUGAAAUCAACAUUUAUGAGGGUCCCCCCCCCCCCACCACUUGUACUUGAUUUGUCCAGAAACCCUUACAUGAUGUUUUUAGAUUCUCACGAGUACUUUUGUAUUUUCUUUCUUUCUUUCUUUGUAAGGUUAGAGUGUAGGGAAGAUAAUUUAUAACUGAUUAUAGAUGACAUAAAUGCCGUAGUGUACGGGGUUAGAGGAGCGCGAUGAAUAAGUAAAUGUGUCGGAUGAGUAAAGGCCAUGUUCUAGUUUGUGAUGCGGUGAAAUGUAUUGUUUCUGCGAUGCCGAUAUGCAGCUCUGGUAGCUAUUACGAUUUGCUGGUAGUUAGUUUAGAAAAAAACAGAUGAACUUUUCUUUCUUUUUUUUUUUUUUUUUAAAAAAAGUGGAAUUAGUAGAACAAGCGGUUUUGUUUACAUGAAGCCCGUAGUUAAGAUCUCUUUAAGAUCACUGAUGGAGAACGAAGUACGGCUCACGCCCUGGCAGGAGAGGAGUGCUGCGAUUAAACCCAUUCCAUCAAACCCAUAUUAUACACACGCGACAAAAAGUGCUGUCAACAUUCAGCAAGCGACUUUCUUUUUAUUUAACAGAGCAGGUGAUGAGGCAGGGCUUCUGCCCACAAUGAAGAAACGAGGCACUGUGGCUACAACGCGUCACCUAUAACUACAGACACAGGGUGUGUGAAGCAUCAACGGGAAGUCUACGUUGUUGUUGUUGUUGUUGUUGUUUUAAAGAAGAAGAAGAAGAAUUUCUUUUACAAUGAAAGCGAUCCUGGCUGCAAAGAAAAAAAUUUUUUUUUAAAUCCCUGAGAAUCCGAGAAUCCCUGAAGUAGAGUCUCGAAAACAUCAACAACUCGUAGGAUUCGUGUCAUUACGGACUGAAUGGGAGUGCUAAGCAAUACGUUGGCAUGCAUCCAAUUUGUCCAGCUCUAUGUUGAAGAAGCAGUAUGUCAUCGUUACAGCCCUCUGCUGG